rnacentral:tRNA from 1 species
GCCCCCUUCGUCUAGCGGUUAGGACGCCACCCUUUCACGGUGGAAACAGGGGUUCGAUUCCCCUAGGGGGUACCA